rnacentral:rRNA from 1 species
CGUGCUUAACACAUGCAAGUCGAACGGUGAACACGGAGCUUGCUCUGUGGGAUCAGUGGCGAACGGGUGAGUAACACGUGAGCAACCUGCCCCUGACUCUGGGAUAAGCGCUGGAAACGGCGUCUAAUACUGGAUAUGUGACGUGACCGCAUGGUCUGCGUCUGGAAAGAUUUUUCGGUUGGGGAUGGGCUCGCGGCCUAUCAGCUUGUUGGUGAGGUAAUGGCUCACCAAGGCGUCGACGGGUAGCCGGCCUGAGAGGGUGACCGGCCACACUGGGACUGAGACACGGCCCAGACUCUACGGGAGGCAGCAGUGGGGAAUAUUGCACAAUGGGCGCAAGCCUGAUGCAGCAACGCCGCGUGAGGGAUGACGGCCUUCGGGUUGUAAACCUCUUUUAGCAGGGAAGAAGCGAAAGUGACGGUACCUGCAGAAAAAGCGCCGGCUAACUACGUGCCAGCAGCCGCGGUAAUACGUAGGGCGCAAGCGUUAUCCGGAAUUAUUGGGCGUAAAGAGCUCGUAGGCGGUUUGUCGCGUCUGCUGUGAAAUCCGGAGGCUCAACCUCCGGCCUGCAGUGGGUACGGGCAGACUAGAGUGCGGUAGGGGAGAUUGGAAUUCCUGGUGUAGCGGUGGAAUGCGCAGAUAUCAGGAGGAACACCGAUGGCGAAGGCAGAUCUCUGGGCCGUAACUGACGCUGAGGCGCGAAAAGGUGGGGAGCAAACAGGCUUAGAUACCCUGGUAGUCCACCCCGUAAACGUUGGGAACUAGUUGUGGGGUCCAUUCCACGGAUUCCGUGACGCACGUAACGCAUUAAGUUCCCCGCCUGGGGAGUACGGCCGCAAGGCUAAAACUCAAAGGAAUUGACGGGGACCCGCACAAGCGGCGGAGCAUGCGGAUUAAUUCGAUGCAACGCGAAGAACCUUACCAAGGCUUGACAUACACGAGAACGGGCCAGAAAUGGUCAACUCUUUGGACACUCGUAAACAGGUGGUGCAUGGUUGUCGUCAGCUCGUGUCGUGAGAUGUUGGGUUAAGUCCCGCAACGAGCGCAACCCUCGUUCUAUGUUGCCAGCACGUAAUGGUGGGAACUCAUGGGAUACUGCCGGGGUCAACUC